rnacentral:lncRNA from 1 species
AUGUGUUUAAGGCAUGAUCAAGCAAACAAACGACAGAAUACUUUUUCUGAAACCUUAACUGUGGUACCUGUUAUGGCAGCUAACAGACACUCGGCGCAUGGCUCCUUUGUUUACGUUAGGGAUCAGCUGUUAGCGCUGUGCCCUGCAGCUGCGCUACCGGCAGACGGUAGCGUCCCCAGUGAGGGAAGAGACGGGGGUGAUGUCUCCCGAGAAGGACACCUUACACACCAUCUCUCCUUCCUGUAAUCACUGUAAACGUGAGAUCGCUCCCUGAUAUGAUUGAGGAGCUAAUGACGCUAACCCGGUCACAGUGGCAGUACCCCGACACUGCCCGGUACUCCCUCUGUGAGUAGGCUGCCCGGCUUCCAGCUGCUGCGGCCGGACAAGACGAGAGACAGCGGUGAGAGGAAAGGAGGGGGACUGGGCAGUGUUUGUUAAAGAUGGUUGUGGUAUCCCUGGGCACAUUGCUGUGAAAGAACAACUCUGCAACAGAGACAUUGAGCUAUUAGCCGUUAGCAUCCGUGGAGGCAGCCUGUGACUCUCUGUGGUCCGCAGACGCAAUCUCCGAGAGCUCUUCUUCUAAUAUCAGGGGACUUUAAUCAUGUCUCGCUGGACUCCACACUGACCACCUUCACCCAGUAUGUGACCUGCCCCACCGUAGGCAAUAAAACAUUGUACUUAAUGUAUGCCAAUGAAAAAGUGGCAUACAGUUCAUCACCUCCCCCUGCCCAGGGAAGAUCUGAUCGUAAUUAGUGCGCCUUGUCCCUGUGUGCAGCACUUAGUGUGCACGGAGCCACCAAUCACCCACGCAGUGCCGAGAUGGUCCGCGGAAGGCAUAUGAAUAAAUAAUAAAAGCAAAUAAAUGACAGAAUGCUUUUUCUGAAACAAACGGAGACCUUAACUUUUAUCAAAAUACCGUUUUACUCAGUUUAAAGUAAUACCACUGUAUAAUAGCCUUCAAAUUUAAUAAUGUUAACAGUAUCUCAGGAAUAUUUUUGCCCCAUCAACAUGCAUUAAAAUUAGAUAUGCAGUUUUGAAUCAGACCUGUAUGUACGUUUUCUGAAAAGUGAUGUAAAUAAAUAAUCUCAAAAACAUGAAAUAAUUGUUUCCCAUGUAAACUGGAGUUGUCCUUGUCAAUGUCAUCAGAGUACUCUGGAUGUCUUACAUGAAUUUGAAACAGAGAGUGGCACAUGACAGCGUUGCACAUAACAUAACUAGUUUACCUGUAUGACAUAAAGUAAUUAAAAUAAAAAAGAAUCCAUGUAACUUGGUUAUGGCUUCUUUCUGGUAACUGUAGAUACAAAUCGGCUGCAGUGUGGAUUAUCUUGACAAAAGUAUAAGAUACUGAACCCGCUGAUAUGAUGUGGUGGAGGAAUACAAAUACCUGGACACCCACAUUUAUACAUUUGCUGAACUGGAAGAUCAAAACAGAGGCUGUACACAAGCAGUGGAUGGGCAGGCUUUUUUUUGUGAGCAAGCUUGUGUGUGCACCAAAAUGUUAAUGACAGGUGUUCUGUCAGUUCAGGUGAGUGCAGUGCACUUUGAUGUGUUCUUCUUGGAUCAGGAGAGCAAGCUCUGUGAUUGGCCGCGCUUCGGAAGCUGUGGUGGAGAGGAAGUGAGUGAACAAACUGCCAUGCAUCAUGGAUAUUCCUCUCAGUCCACCUCAUCAGGCACCUCUCUAAAAGUGUGACUCUGGUCUGUUGCCCCAAAGGAUACAGGAAAUGCACUGAUUUCCAGGACAGAAUCGUGUCUGUUUAAUGCUCCAUGAUGAUAACUUUCCUAUGAGCGUUUGAAGAUCACUGACAUCAUGGCUUUUAGCCUCAUUGUUUCUGCAAAGAGAUUUCUCCAGUCACUGAAUCUUUUGAUAAAAUA